GUAGGGAAUAUUGCGCAAUGGAGGAAACUCUGACGCAGCGACGCCGCGUGGGUGACGAAGGUCUUCGGAUCGUAAAGCCCUGUCGGAAGGGACGAAAGACGUGAUGGCUAAUAUCCAUCACGAGUGACGGUACCUUUAAAGGAAGCACCGGCUAACUACGUGCCAGCAGCCGCGGUAAUACGUAGGGUGCAAGCGUUGUUCGGAAUCAUUGGGCGUAAAGCGCGUGUAGGCGGCUAUUUAAGUCGGGUGUGAAAUCCCUCGGCUCAACCGAGGAAGUGCAUUCGAAACUGGAUAGCUUGAAGAUGGUAGGGGAAGGUGGAAUUCCAAGUGUAGAGGUGAAAUUCGUAGAUAUUUGGAGGAAUACCGGUGGCGAAGGCGGCCUUCUGGGCCACUCUUGACGCUGAGACGCGAAAGCGUGGGUAGCAAACAGGAUUAGAAACCCGUGUAGUCC
rnacentral:rRNA from 1 species